rnacentral:rRNA from 1 species
CUGAGUACGGCGGAACACGUGAAAUUCCGUCGGAAUCCGGGAGGACCAUCUCCCAAGGCUAAAUACUCCCUAGUGACCGAUAGUGAACCAGUACCGUGAGGGAAAGGUGAAAAGCACCCCGGAAGGGGAGUGAAACAGUUCCUGAAACCGUGUGCCUACAAGUAGUUAGAGCCCGUUAAUGGGUGAUAGCGUGCCUUUUGUAGAAUGAACCGGCGAGUUACGAUUUGUUGCAAGGUUAAGCGGAAAAAGCGGAGCCGUAGCGAAAGCGAGUCUGAAUAGGGCGCAUAAGUAACAGGUCGUAGACCCGAAACCAGGUGAUCUACCCAUGUCCAGGAUGAAGGUAAGGUAAUACUUACUGGAGGUCCGAACCCACGCACGUUGAAAAGUGCGGGGAUGAGGUGUGGGUAGCGGAGAAAUUCCAAUCGAACUUGGAGAUAGCUGGUUCUCUCCGAAAUAGCUUUAGGGCUAGCCUCGAGGUAAAGAGUCAUGGAGGUAGAGCACUGUUUGGACUAGGGGCCCUUCUCGGGUUACCGAAUUCAGAUAAACUCCGAAUGCCAUGUACUUAUACUCGGGAGUCAGACUGCGAGUGAUAAGAUCCGUAGUCGAAAGGGAAACAGCCCAGACCACCAGUUAAGGUCCCCAAAUAUAUGUUAAGUGGAAAAGGAUGUGGGGUUGCUUAGACAACCAGGAUGUUGGCUUAGAAGCAGCCACCAUUGAAAGAGUGCGUAAUAGCUCACUGGUCGAGUGACCCCGCGCCGAAAAUGUACCGGGGCUAAACAUAUUACCGAAACUGUGGAUGAACCUCUUUAGAGGUUCGUGGUAGGAGAGCGUUCUAAGGGCGGUGAAGUCAGACCGGAAGGACUGGUGGAGCGCUUAGAA